rnacentral:rRNA from 1 species
UACGUAGGGUGCAAGCGUUGUCCGGAAUUAUUGGGCGUAAAGAGCUUGUAGGCGGUUUGUCGCGUCUGCUGUGAAAUUUCGGGGCUCAACCCCGAACUUGCAGUGGGUACGGGCAGACUAGAGUGUGGUAGGGGAGACUGGAAUUCCUGGUGUAGCGGUGAAAUGCGCAGAUAUCAGGAGGAACACCGAUGGCGAAGGCAGGUCGCUGGGACGUAACUGACGCUGAGACGCGAAAGCGUGGGGAGCAAACAGG